GAUGAACGCUGGCGGCGUGCAUAACACAUUCAAGUCGAACGGAAAAGAUUGGGGCUUGCCUUGAUCUUUUUAGUGGCGGACGGGUGAGUAACGCGUGGGCAACCUGCCUUUCAAGACGGGAUAACACAGGGAAACUUGUGCUAAUACCGUAUGACAUACACUGAUCGCAUGUUUGGUGUAUCAGAGGGGGAACCCGAUGAAAGAUGGGCUCGCGUCUGAUUAGGUAGUUGGUGAGGGUAACGGCCCACCAAGCCGACGAUCAGUAGCCGGACUGAGAGGUUGAACGGCCACAUUGGAACUGAGAAACGGCCCAG
rnacentral:rRNA from 1 species